rnacentral:lncRNA from 1 species
CUUUUAAAUAACAGAUACAUGUAAGAUAAUUUAAUGUUGCAUAUUAAGUUAUACUUUAUUUAAACAUUAUUUAAUAUACCUAUUAAAAAGAUUGAUCUGUUAUUAUGUUGAUGGAUUUAAGGUAUUGAAGUAAAUGAAUAAAUAAAUAGAAAAUGUGUGCUGCUGUAUAUGAUUAUUAACUUUUCUUGAUGGAGGGCAGGACUUUUUCGGGACGUCUGGAUUGGGUGUUUUUAAGCUCAGGAUUUUGGGAUCCAGGAUUUUCUUUCGUGAUUUUUUUUUUUAAUUUGGGACAUCAGAAGAUCAUGUUUUUAGCCCAGGAUUUUGGGAUCAGGACCCCUGCAACACCCCCACCUUUUUCUUUGACAUAUAAUAUAAAGUCAUUAAAAAUAAAUCAAUUAUUU